AGUUCCUCUCCCCCGCAUCCCCUUGUUUCCCCUCCCCUGGUUGCCAGGAGCCCGACGAGGAAGCCAUCAUGAGCCCCACUUGGUUGGUGUAGGGACAGCGAGUUCGGGGCAUGGCGGCGGCGGCGCGAGGGCAUGGCGGCGGCGACGCGAGGGCAUGGCGAGGCGGAGACGCGAGGAGGAGGCUCUCCGCGGUGGUGCUCUGGUGGUGCGAGGAGGAGGCGCGAGGACUCCGGUGGUGCUCCGCGGCUCUCCUCUAGAUCCACCGCGCGCGAGGAGGAGGCACGAGGACUCCGACGAGGAGAC
rnacentral:lncRNA from 1 species